rnacentral:rRNA from 1 species
GACGAACGCUGGCGGCGUGCUUAACACAUGCAAGUCGAACGAGUGGCGGACGGGUGAGUAAUGCUUGGGAAUCUGGCUUAUGGAGGGGGAUAACGACGGGAAACUGUCGCUAAUACCGCGUACCAUAGGAUGAGCCCAAGUGGGAUUAGGUAGUUGGUGGGGUAAUGGCUUACCAAGCCGACGAUCUCUAGCUGGUCUGAGAGGAUGACCGGCAACACUGGGACUGAGACACGGCCCGGACUCCUACGGGAGGCAGCAGUGGGGAAUAUUGCGCAAUGGGGGAAAGCUGACGGAGCAAUGCCGCGUGAAUGAAGAAGGCUUUCGGGUUGUAAAGUUCUUUCGGUGACGAAGCGUUAAUCACAGAAGAAGCACCGGCUAACUACGUGCCAGCAGCCGCGGUAAUAC